GACGAACGCUGGCGGCGCGCCUAAUACAUGCAAGUUGAGCGCUGAAGGUUGGUACUUGUACCAACUGGAUGAGCAGCGAACGGGUGAGUAACGCGUGGGGAAUCUGCCUUUGAGCGGGGGACAACAUUUGGAAACGAAUGCUAAUACCGCAUAAAAACUUUAAACACAAGUUUUAAGUUUGAAAGAUGCAAUUGCAUCACUCAAAGAUGAUCCCGCGUUGUAUUAGCUAGUUGGUGAGGUAAAGGCUCACCAAGGCGAUGAUACAUAGCCGACCUGAGAGGGUGAUCGGCCACAUUGGGACUGAGACACGGCCCAAACUCCUACGGGAGGCAGCAGUAGGGAAUCUUCGGCAAUGGACGAAAGUCUGACCGAGCAACGCCGCGUGAGUGAAGAAGGUUGUCGGAUCGUAAAACUCUGUUGGUAGAGAAGAACGUUGGUGAGAGUGGAAAGCUCAUCAAGUGACGGUAACUACCCAGAAAGGGACGGCUAACUACGUG
rnacentral:rRNA from 1 species